CCCUGACCCUGCAGCUCUGGGAGAGGAGAUCCAGCCCCGGAUUCCCACGUGCUCCCAUUCGGGCUUCAGACAGAACACUCACCAUGGAUUUUGGGCUGAGCUGGGUUGUCCUUGUGGCUAUUUUACAAGGUGUCCAGUGUGAGGUGCAGCUGCUGGAGUCUGGCAGAGGCUUGGUACAGCCUGGGGGGUCUCUGCGACUCUCCUCUGCAGCGUCUGGAUUCACCUUCAGUAGCUAUGGCAUGGGCUGGGUCCGCCAGGCUCCAGGGAAGGGGCUGGAGUGGAUCUCAAGUAUUAGUAGUAGUAGUGGUGGUAACACAUACUAUACAGACUCUGUGAAGGGCCGAUUCACCAUCUCCAGAGACAACUCCAAGAACACGCUGUAUCUGCAAAUGAACAGCCUGAGAUCUGAGGACACGGCCGUGUAUUACUGUGCGAAAGAUACACAGUGAGGGGAAGUCAGUGUGAGCCCAGAC